GGUCCCUUCGUCUAGUCGGUUAGGACGCCAGCCUCUCAAGCUGGAAAUACGGGUUCGAGUCCCGUAGGGAUCACCA
rnacentral:tRNA from 1 species